UACGUAGGUGGCGAGCGUUGUCCGGAUUUACUGGGCGUAAAGCGCGCGUAGGUGGCCUGUUAAGUCUAGCGUGAAAGGUUCCGGCCCAACCGGGACAGUGCGCUGGAUACUGGCGGGCUUGAGGGCAGCAGAGGCUGAUGGAAUUCCCGGUGGAGUGGUGAAAUGCGUAGAUAUCGGGAGGAACACCAGUGGCGAAGGCGAUCAGCUGGGCUGUCCCUGACGCUGAGGUGCGAAAGCGUGGGGAGCGAACCGG
rnacentral:rRNA from 1 species